GACAGAGGCCCCAAGCGUUAGGCGGAAUCACUGGGCGUAAAGCGCACGUAGGCGGACUCUUAAGUCGGUGGUGAAAUCCUGGAGCUCAACUCCAGAACUGCCUUCGAUACUGAGAGUCUCGAGUCCGGGAGAGGUGAGUGGAACUGCGAGUGUAGAGGUGAAAUUCGUAGAUAUUCGCAAGAACACCAGUGGCGAAGGCGGCUCACUGGCC
rnacentral:rRNA from 1 species